AAAAAUAAAUAAAAAAAAAUAAAACAAAGAGGACUCACAUGCGCUUUUCCAUUUUCAAAUGAAGACGUUUUGGUGAAAUCCUAACCUAUCACAGGUUCUAAGAAAGUGAAGAAUUCCAUUUCUAAUCACAUUUGCAAGCCACGCAAAGAAAUGAGAACCUCAUUUGUUCUCUAACAUCAUAAAUGGUAGAGCUGAUUCAAUUUUUUGCAUCUUCUGAAGACAAAUUUUCCAUUGUAAGUGCAACUUCAAACUGUAAAACUAUUCCAAUCUCGUUGUGAAGCAAGUUAGCUCCGUUGGAAAGUAUGCAGAAGAAGCAGAUGCCUACAGUCAUCAUAUGCUUUUCCGUUCACAUGAAUUAGAUGCUUCUCGCCUCCAACUUGUAUGUUAUCUUGACAAGCACAACAAUAAAUGUGCUGCAGCUGAUUAUAUCAUGGCUUUGCUUCAAUAUGCAUAAAUAUUUAAGACAGAGCUAAGAAGCUUUAUCCUUGCGACUUUUGUCCUUGUUGAUUCAUAUUGCAUUGUGAGAGAUGUCGUGUAACAUCAGCCCAAGCUGGAAAAUUUUGAUAAUCAGGCUCUAUUCCAUUGCCAUUUAUGUCCAUGUGAUUCGGCGUGACAUAUUUCCCAACAGUCACAACCACUCCAGAUCCAUCAGGAAGCUCAAAGACAGAUUGAAUCAAACCCUGAAAAAUUGUCCGCAUGAUAGUAUCAGAGAUAUUAAAAGAUCCCAGCAUUAAUUACCAUUAUUAAUCGCUAAACUGUUAGGACCUCAUGAUCAUACAAAUUCAAAGAUUUGGAUCCUUCAAUAAUUAGCGAUUCCUACAGAUAGGAAAAUGUUUGGAUAUUCAAUUGAUUUAACAUGCUAAAACCACACCAGAAGCAACUUAUGGUCUAAAGAAAUGGAUCCAAUUCCUGUGCUGAUAUAUGGACAGCCAGCUUUUGUAAUUUCCCCCAUCCAUGAAGAAACACACCGGUGUGGAAGUUAAAUUGAAUGAAAAAAGAGGUUCUAGAUGGGCUUUGUCAUAAGAAAUGUGUGACUUGCAUGAUAGAAGUACAAUGUGGAAACAUAACAAAUAACAUAAACCAUUGGCAAAAUAAACAACCUUGCCAUAAGUUCUGUCCCCCACAAGUACCGCUUUACAGUUAUCAUGAAGUGCAGAGGCAACCUGAAAUAAGAAUCUCAACAACAAUAUUGCAAUAGCAAAUGCUAAACAAUUACAUACGAUUUGGUAAAAGUAAGUUGCUCACAAUUUCACUCGCACUAGCAGUUUUUUUGUUCACCAAAACCUGUGUGAGAAGUGAUUAAAGCCAUGGUCACAAGCAAGAUUAUAAGAUCUAUUCAGACAAACAAGCCAUGGUCAAUGAUAAGCAACAUAAAUAAUGCUGCUGGAAGAAAAAUUCAUCAAUUCUUAUGGUGACAAACCUGAUUUGUUUUAUCAAUAAAAACAAAAAGAUUUACUGUUGUUUAUAUCAUAGAUAUAAGAGGCAUACAAUAACAGGAGAUGUAACCAACGGUUGAGCAUCAGCAACUAUGGUGUUUUGAUAUUGAGGAUCCCUUCCAACAGUAUAAAUCACCGUGUUCCCUUUAUUCAAAAAGAGCUUGGAAAUUUCAAUUCCAGCCUGAAAUGAGCAAAAAGAUUCAAUCAAACUAAAAAAAUUACACUCAAGACUCAACCAUAAGAAAUAACAGAAGUUUGCAAUGCAGAUUAUGAUCAUCAAUUCAACUAUUAACUCACAGCACAUUACAUAAUGUGUUUGAGGCCAAAUAAUUAAAAAAAAUAACAUGUUUAUGAAUUAUCAAUUUUAGCUUAUCCUUUUAAUUUUCUCAAUUUUACCAUUGCAAGUAAAAGGCAAAAUAGGUAAGGUAACCUGUACUAGUCCACCAAGAUUAUCUCUAAGAUCCAGAACAAAAUAGGAGGCACCCAUGUCUUGAAGUCGUUUCAUUGCUGCAACAAUAAUCAUUUACUUGAUUCCAUUAGGCCAAAAAAAAAUACAUAACUUUGAGCAUACCCAACUGAACCAAAUUUAAACAAUGUUUUGAACUACACAAAAGCAUUAUCACCCAAGCUACCCAAACAGAAGUAAACAUCAAAUAGAGCAGGAAAAAAAAGAGAGCAGAAACUAACAUAAACUUAGGGGUACUUGGAAGCUUUUUACCAUUUCAGCUUUAACCAUUCAAAAACAAAGUUACAAUUAAAGGGUAUUGCAAAGCCAUGUGUUGCAUCAAAUUAUAAUUCUUCUCCUUCUCUCUCUUUCUCUCUCUAAGGUAAAAAAGCAGGCAUGCGAAAGAAGAUAAAACAUUAACUCCAUUGUUCUUCAAUGGACCUAAUUGUUGUUCAAACUAAAGUAUUCAUAAAGAGGGCACCAAAGAUAAAUCUAUGCAUGUUAUAACUUAUAAAUGCAUUAUAAUCAAUAAAACUUGUAUCACUUAGACAAAAUACAUAAAUAUUUACCAAUUACCAAAUCUUUUCUGGCUAAUGCAUUGAACUCUUUAAGGUGAAUAUACCCAACAGAAGUAGUGCCGUUGUCUACUUGCUCCAAGCGGUAAAAAACUGGUGUGCGAGCAAUGAGUUGUCUCUGAACUUCUAUAGAUUGAAUAGGCCCACAAUUGCCAUGCUUCACCUAUAAUUGAUCACAUGUAUUCUCAACAAAUAGUGAAACUGCAAUAUAUGAUAAAGCUAACAUAGCAGUGCUCUGUAUCUCAAGCCAACUUCAAAACCUUAAUAGUCACAAAUGUUUCAUGUGGGCCCUGCAACAAAGAUGAUACUUCAAAUGCUGAUUUCCCACUGACAUCCUCUCCAUUAACGGCUAAGACUUCAUCCCCCUGUCUUACACCAGCAGUAUGUGCGGGCCCAUCCAGUAGGAGCCCUAACACCAUCAGUUUCACUCCUCCACUCUCAUCUGGAACUUCCCUAAGGUUUAUCCCAAUACCUGUAAUGUCAUACCUUGCCAUCUUCGAGAACUUUCACAUUGACAAAGUUGACACAUGCCAUGCAAUAAGACAACUGAAAAGUAUAUAAGUAGAGCCAUGUACACAUGCAAUAGAUAAGAGCCAAGUGCAUGAUGUGUCAUAAAAGCACUACAUAAAGUUGCACAUUAAUGAACCUUGCAAGAAAAGAUAAGUUGUUAAGAAGAAAUAAUUGAGUAAGAUGUAUGCACUUAGAAAUUAUAUUCAGUUCAUUGAAGUCUUAAACCCAAUAUAUGGAUCAUUUUCAUUCCCUUCUACUUUAGGAUCAUAUUUACAAAAAGGUUUAAUGAUGCUAAAGUAAAUCCUUUAUAAAUACUUCCGUCAAUGCCAUUCUAAGUUUACCUCUCAAAUAAUGAUCACUUAGAAAGGCAUCUAUAAAUAAACAAAAUUAGGGAUAUUUGUUACUUGAUUGCCACUUAAAUGCUUCUCAUGUCAAGAUGGCAACAGCAUUGGCCCCCAAAUCAUAUCUAGACAUCAGCAGCACAUUUUCUAUUUCCCAAUAUUAUUUCAGAGAUUUUUUUUUUUUUAAUGAAAAAAGCUAGUACUAAACAGUACAUCCUUGUAUGGCCCUCAGAAUGAAGCUACCACAUAACAACUUCUUCAACGUUAGUGAGUAUUUUUAACAUAGGAACCAACCAUUACAAGCCUUAAGAAAAUGAUUAACAAAACACAACUCGAGGAACAGUAAAAGAAAAUGCUCGUUGAAAAUUAUUUUAAAAAAAAAACGGAAGAAUGAAAAACAUUGAACACAACUACCUCAGCAGGUGAAAUAAAGCGUGUAUAAGGGUCACCCAAGCUGGCUAGCAUCCUCCUAAUUAUAUCAUGAGCCUUCGAUCUACUCUUAAUGGAAGUGCUUAAAAUAUCU
rnacentral:misc_RNA from 1 species